GCGGCGCGGGUCCUGCCAGACCAUCAGCUUGCAACUGCUGUUGCGUUCGCUCAGUUCGAUGCUGGGCCGCCGCU
rnacentral:tRNA from 1 species